GGGGGCGAUUGGCUUCGACAAAAUAUGACUUUUUUUGUGUUGCAUGUACAGAACCCGGGUAAUCUGUUUAAUCAUCCCGGAAACAACACAGAUGCCAAUAAUGGCAACAUUGCUUACGCUUAAAGCAUAAGCCGUUCCAUCUAAAAUAUGUUUGCCGUUUUAGAAUGGAGCGUCAAUUAGGCAGACUAUUCCUAAGAAUUGUCCGCGUUUUUAGGAUGAAAAAUUUCGGACUGGCUUUGAAAUUUGGUCGUUUGACACCAAAUCCAAAGUAAGAUAAAAAAGUCAAACUAAACAUGUAGAAGUACAAAUAAUUUCUAUUUUGGACGGGAGUUCGACUCUCCCCGCCUCCACAA
rnacentral:tmRNA from 1 species